rnacentral:rRNA from 1 species
GACAGAGGGUGCAAACGUUGUUCGGAAUUACUGGGCGUAAAGCGCGUGUAGGCUGCUCGGAAAGUCGGGUGUGAAGCCCUGGGCUCAACCUAGGAAGUGCACUCGAAACUUCCGAGCUGGAGUUUCGGAGAGGAAGGCGGAAUCUCGGUGUAGAGGUGAAAUUCGUAGAUAUCGAGAGGAACGAUCGGUGGCGAAGGCGGCCU